AUCUUGUUGCUUACCUAUCUAAAGGAAUCCGAUGGUUUCGUUAGUCCAUUUCCGCCCCCUGCCCUCACGGGUUUUGGGGUGGACAUCAGGCAAGCCUCGUGUUCCCGGCACGCUUCGCCCAGCUGCGUCGCUGCCUCGGCCCAUGAGGUGCACUGCCCGUGCUUUCGGAUGCAGAAUGUUAUGUGCGGGUGCGGGGUCUAUUUAUUAGCUCCGUUUGCCCAAGCAACGCAUUUGUCCAUUGACACGAACGACUGUCGUGCCCGUCUUGAGCCCGCGGCCUUACGGCCUGCCGGAUCUCAUGCGGGCGUCGG
rnacentral:misc_RNA from 1 species